UACAGAGGGGGCAAGCGUUGUUCGGAAUUACUGGGCGUAAAGCGCACGUAGGCGGAUUGUUAAGUUAGGGGUGAAAUCCCAGGGCUCAACCCUGGAACUGCCUUUAAUACUGGCAAUCUCGAGUCCGAGAGAGGUGAGUGGAAUUCCAGGUGUAGCGGUGAAAUGCGUAGAUAUCUGGAGGAACACCGGUGGCGAAGGCGGCAUCCUGGACCGGCAUUGACGCUGAGGCGCGAAAGCCAGGGGAGCAAAGC
rnacentral:rRNA from 1 species